UACGUAGGGCGCGAGCGUUAUCCGGAAUUAUUGGGCGUAAAGAGCUCGUAGGCGGUUUGUCACGUCUGCUGUGAAAACUGGAGGCUCAACCUCCAGCCUGCAGUGGGUACGGGCAGACUAGAGUGCGGUAGGGGAGAUUGGAAUUCCUGGUGUAGCGGUGGAAUGCGCAGAUAUCAGGAGGAACACCGAUGGCGAAGGCAGAUCUCUGGGCCGACACUGACGCUCAUGCACGAAAGCGUGGGGAGCAAACAGG
rnacentral:rRNA from 1 species